rnacentral:lncRNA from 1 species
ACAUUUUUAGGGACCACUCAAAACGCAACACACAACACAAUGAGAGCACUAUUUUUUUUCCUUUUAGAAUCCCCCUUCGUGAUUAAGUAGGAGGAUUGGAGAAAAUUUAGGAAGAAAAUAAAACUCUUUCUUUUUUUCUUUCUUCGAAUUUCCAUCUUCACUUUCUUCCAACCUUCACUCUUGUCCUCCACCUACAUUCCACGCUGAAACUCCUCCCACAACCCCACCAUACAAACAACUCAUCUUCAUUAGAACCUCCUCCUUCAUCUUACAACAACAACAAACCUCCGACAAACCUCUUUCCCUCACUGAACCCACCGAUUUUCUCCCUCAGGACCAACAUCAUCAUCAACAUAUAACUUCUCCAACUCACCCUCAAAAAAUUCAUGAACUUAAACUCUUCCUUCUUCAUGACUCCAACUGAAACACCAUCUUGAAACAAUGACACAACCAUGUGAAACCAUCAUUCCCACCUUCCUAAUGAAAACGAGUUUCAGACGAAAACGAACCUUAUAAAACUCGUCACACACCCUCACCUUCUUCAACAACUUUCACCAUACAACAACAACCCCAUACUCCUCCAAACUCCACCAUAAAAUGCCGACAACCAUUCCAAUCUCCUUCCACACCAACUUACCACCACGAAAAAUCAUCCACCACCUUGCUUCACCAUUACCGACAACUCAGUUUCUGCUGCAAAUUUCUGCUACAACCUAAACCACCACCAAACGACGAGCUCACCACCCUCAAGCGAGCAACAACACCAUAUAUGUUUCUCUUUUCAUCUCUGCAUUGCCGUCGUGUACCACCUCGGAGGUAGUUCAUUGUUCUGUUCAAGACGUCCAUUGUAACGUCCGGUAACUACUCGGUUCGAAUGUGUUGUUUUGCUCCGCGUAUUUACUUUCCAUUUACAAUUCAUGGUGUGUUGAGAGUGUGUGGCUGCUGCGUUUUUCCUUCGAAGCAUGCAUAUGUUUUGCUGUGCUUUUGUUGUUGCUUGAAGUUUGAUAAUGAUUGUUUUUUAUGACAUUUAAGUGUUAUAGCUUUGUUCAUUAUUUCAUUUGCCUCAUUUGCCUUGUUGAUGUCUGGUUGGAUUUAGAGAGCAAGAAAUAUAGAAAGAAGAAGAUGAACAUUAUUGUGUGUUC